CCCUUAGAUGUUCUGGGCUGCACGCGCGCUACACUGAUGCGUUCAACGAGUUUAUGACCUUGCCCGAUAGGGUUGGGUAAUCUUUUUAAAUCGCAUCGUGAUGGGGAUAGAUUAUUGCAAUUAUUAAUCUUCAACGAGGAAUUCCUAGUAAACGCAAGUCAUCAGCUUGCAUUGAUUACGUCCCUGCCCUUUGUACACACCGCCCGUCGCACCUACCGAUUGAAUGGUCCGGUGAAAUCUCGGGACGGCGGCUUGGUCGCUUGCGUCCGACUGCUGAAACUUGAUUAAACCAUAUCAUUUAGAGGAAGGUGAAGUCGUAACA
rnacentral:rRNA from 1 species